GAGCUCUAAGAAUUAAAGGUGUUGACAGGACGGAUGGGACAGGUUUACAAUAGUUGCAAGCUUUUUUUCAUCCAGUUUUCUGUCUAUUUAAAACAUUUGGCUGUUUAAAAUUUUUUUUAAAUUUUAUUUAGGGAAAAGAGAGAGAGCAGGGGAGAGGGGCAAAAGGAGAGAGAGAGAGGGAGAGAAUCCUAAGCAGGCUCCACACUCAGUGGGCAGAGCCUGACUCGGGGCUCAAUCCCACAACCCUGGGAUCCUGACCUGAGCUGAAAUCAAGAGGCACUCAACCGACUGAGCCACUCAGGUUCCCCGAACUCCUGACAGUGUUAAAGCAUCAUCAGAUAUUUAUUGAAGUACUAUGUGCGGGUUUCUUUUUUUUUUUUUAAUAUUUUUCAUGUAUAUUUAUUUUUGAGAGAGAAAGGGAAAGAGUGCGAGUGUGGGAUGGUCAGAGAAAUUCUGAAGCAGGCUCCGGGCUCUGAGCUGUCAGCACAGAGCACGAUGCAGGGCUGGAACUCAAAAACUGCAAGAUCAUGACCUGAGCUGAAGCCGGACGCUCAACCAACUGAGCCACCCAGGUGCCGCGAAUGUGUUGAUUCUAAACCUCAUGCUUCUAGGUUUCUUCUCUCUUGCCUUCUUGCAAGUCUAUGUAAGUCAAAUUAUCUGCCUUAUAUUGCAGAUGAGGUCUGCAGUGGUGUUUGCUAAAUUUGCAUUAUCUGAGUUGAGCCCAGCCCUCGGGCACGCCACGUCUUUACCCCAGCCUACCAGCCCCAAACACAGUCUUCCUCUUUCCUCCCCAGGCACCCACGCCAGAAAACUGGGAACUGUGCUGACCUCUUUCUUUCUUCACGUGCAGCCAACCAAAGCCCCAGCAGAUUCUGGAACUCCUUGGUACUGGGAUGCAGUUAUGAACACGUUCAGCCCCCUGGCCUUGAGUCCACCUCUCAUCGGGGAAGAGGGAGGUCCUGAGAGGCAGUGACAAGACGGCGUGACCCCUCUUCCACAGAGGUGAGGCAGGUGCCUUGGGUGCACAGCUAAGAAGCCAGUGGCCCUUCCAGGAUGGAAGGUGAGAGAGGGAACAGGGAACCCUCCACCAGGUACGUCAAGGAGCCACCAGAAAAGGGAUGUGAAAUUCGUGAUUUUUUUUAAUGUUUAUUUAUUUUUGAGAGAGAGAGGCAGAAAGAGAGGGAGACGCAAAAGCCGAAGCAGGCUCCAGGCUCCGAGCUGCCGGCACAGGGCCUGAUGUGGGGCUUGAACCCACGAACCUCGGGCCCACCACCUUUCAGGGCAAUCAUGAGAAGUGACUGCAGAUGUCUGAGCUGGGGAAGAAGUCCUCCAAAACCUCCUCGAGCCAUAAAUAGAGUCUUUCUUUCUUCCUUUUCUUAACCCCCCUGUUUUUUGUCCUUUAAGGGUAUUGCUUUUCAUAUUUUUACCUCCAGCUGUCUCGAUGGUAUUUCAACCUUUUUUAUAUUUUCCUAAGUCUUGUAUUUAACGUGCCCUGGAAAUUGUCAUCGAAUAUAAAAAAUCAGAUCUCAAACUUCUGCGUUAGGAACGGAGGGACGCAGAGCAAGGUUUUUUGGGUUUUUUUUUUUGUUUUUUUCUCUUUUGAGUGCAUGGACUUUUGAUAUAUGGAAUGAAGACGAUUGUGUCUGAUUGCAUCUGUAAUGAACCCUCAUAAUUUUAGAUUAGGGUUAUGUGGACGUCCCAACUAAUGGG
ensembl:lncRNA